CCCCCGCCCCGGCCUCCCCACCCGCGCUGCGGUCCGGCGGCCAGCGCCUCCGAACUUCCGAAAGCCGCCCCCGAGCCCGCAGGCGACGCCCGGGGCACCACAGCCGGCCCUGCACGCGGGCAGGACCCGCAGUCCGGGGAGCUCAGCAGGGCCGCCUCGAACUUUUCCCGAAGAAAAUGGGCACCGCUCCGCAGGGCUGGGCCGCGCAGGCUCGCGCUUAAUAUUCAAUGAUCUCGCUCGCACCUCCCCUCCGCUGCUCGCAAAUUCCACCGGGUCCGUUACUGGGCUCGGACUUCGAAGUUAACGCACGCCCGCCCGGCCGCAAACCGGGGCCUGAGGCCGCCCCCGCCCGCGGCGCCCCGCGCUGACCCCGCCGGCCGGAGGGGGCCGGGCUCACUUUGCAACUUUGUGCGGCGCCGGCCGCAGUGCCAGCUCGGUGGUAUCGUAUGCAAAUACGCAUGCUGACGUUACAGAUCAUGUGGGUUUUGGCGUAGAUUCCCCACUGAUCGGCAUUUUCCCCUCUUUUUCUUUCUUUUUUCUCUUUUUGCUUUUUCUUUUUAAAUUUUGGCCGCCGUCCUCGGAGCGGGCCUCUCUGCCCGAGCCCGGCACGCUGGCUGUCCCUCCGUUUCCCACGGAGCCCCGCGGGCGCCGGCCGGGGAGCGGGCCGAGGGUGGGGGAGCCAGCAGAGUUCCAUUUUGGAAGCCCGCGCUCGUCUCCGCGCGCCCAGCCCGGGUCCCCGCGUCCGCGCGCCCCCAGCCCCGGCGCCGCAGGGCCGUCUCCGGGAGCCGGAGGAGCUGAGAUGUGAACGCGUCCAUGCCCCUCGAAGCUGCCAGCAGCCUCUCUGGAGCCAGGAUCCCCGAGGCCAGACAAAGGUGCCCUGGGCCUGGUGCCCGGGAGAAUUUCUCCUGGCCCAGAUGAGGCGACCUGGGGUGCCUUUGUGGAGACCACAGGUCCCGGUGGAGCUGCUCAGAUCUGAAGCCAACCUGGAGAUCGCAGGACGAGAGCCUCCUCUCAGCACUUGUGCGGCCCCACGCACCAGGGCCACAGGCACAGCCUGGCGGCUCCCAUCCCUCAAGGCCUUCAAGUCCACAGGGAUCUGGCUGCCCUUCUCCAACCUUCCCGGCCCCAGCUGCCCUGCUGCUCCCACCUGGGCCGCCAGCCUGCUCCAGGCCUGGCUGGCUGCCCUGUCCGCGGUUUGCAGUCUGUGCUCUCAUGCCCCUUGCCCUGAGGUAGGGUGCUCGAGAGCACAGGAAGCCGCUGAAGGCUUCGUCCAGCCCAGUAAGGCCAGGCUCACCUUAUCUCCC
rnacentral:lncRNA from 1 species